UACGAAGGGGGCUAGCGUUGCUCGGAAUGACUGGGCGUAAAGGGCGCGUAGGCGGUUUGUACAGUCAGAUGUGAAAUUCCCGGGCUUAACCUGGGGACUGCAUUUGAUACGUGUCGUCUUGAGUUCGGAAGAGGGUCGUGGAAUUCCCAGUGUAGAGGUGAAAUUCGUAGAUAUUGGGAAGAACACCGGUGGCGAAGGCGGCUCACUGGCCCGGUACUGACGCUGAGGUGCGAAAGCGUGGGGAGCAAACAGG
rnacentral:rRNA from 1 species